rnacentral:rRNA from 1 species
CCUACGGGCGCUGCAGUGGGGAAUAUUGGACAAUGGGCGAAAGCCUGAUCCAGCCAUGCCGCGUGUGUGAAGAAGGCCUUCGGGUUGUAAAGCACUUUCAGUGGGGAAGAAAGCCUUGGGGCUAAUACCCUCGAGGAAGGACAUCACCCACAGAAGAAGCACCGGCUAACUCCGUGCCAGCAGCCGCGGUAAUACGGAGGGUGCGAGCGUUAAUCGGAAUUACUGGGCGUAAAGCGCGCGUAGGCGGUCUGAUAAGCCGGUUGUGAAAGCCCCGGGCUCAACCUGGGAACGGCAUCCGGAACUGUCAGGCUAGAGUGCAGGAGAGGAAGGUAGAAUUCCCGGUGUAGCGGUGAAAUGCGUAGAGAUCGGGAGGAAUACCAGUGGCGAAGGCGGUCUUCUGGACUGACACUGACGCUGAGGUGCGAAAGCGUGGGUAGCAAACAGGAUUAGAUACCCGAGUAGUC